AUACUUACCUGGCAGAGGAGAUACCAUUAUCAAGAAGGUGGUUCUCCCAGGGCGAGGCUCACCCAUUGCACUCCGUGUUGACCUCUGCGAUUUCCUCAAAUAGGGGAAACUCGACUGUGUAAUUUAUGGUAGUGGGGGACUGCGGGCGCGCUUUCCCCUG
rnacentral:snRNA from 1 species